AUGACUGGUUCGAUCUAUGCGUUCGCGGAGCUGGACCGCUCAAUCACCGGGAAGGUGCGGUUCGCGGACGGAUCCGUGGUGGAGAUCCACGGGCGCGGGACCGUCGUCUUCGCCGACAAAGGGGGUGAUCACAGGGUGUUCACGGACGUCUACUUCAUCCUGGCGCUCACGAGCAGCGUCGUGAGUGUCGGACAACUCGACGAGGGCUGGUUCGACAUCGGCAUCCGGCGCGGUGUUCUCACCGUGCACGACCAGCAGAAGAGGCUGCUCAUCGAGGUUACCCGCUCGCCGAACCGCCUCUACAAAUUCUUCUUUCAACCCGCGCAUCCUGUGUGCCUUGCCGUGGGCCAUGUCUCCGACGCGUGGCGUUGGCAUGCCCGGCUAGGACACCAGCACUUCGACGGGUUGCGAAAGAUGGUGCGAGGCAACCUCGUUCGUGGGCUACCUCACAUCGAGCACGCCGACGAGCUGUGUGAUGCAUGUCUUGCGGGGAAGCAGCGGCGUCUGCCGUUUCCCGAGAAGGCAUGCUAUCGGGCGCAGAAACCCCUGGAGCUGGUUCACGGGGACCUCUGCGGCCCAAUCACCCCGGCAACGCCAGGAGGGCAUCGCUACAUCCUGCUGCUCAUCGACGACUAUAGCAGGUUCAUGUGGGUGCUGCUCCUCGCCUCCAAGGACGAGGCGGAGCAAGCCAUUGUCAAGCAGCAAGCGGCAGCAGAGGUCGAGUGCGGCCACAAGAUGCGCGUGCUGCGCACGGACCGUGGCGGCGAGUUCACGUCGGCCACGUUCUACAAGCACUGCGACGAGAAAGGGGUGCAACGUCACCUCACAGCCCCUUACUCGCCGUAG
rnacentral:rRNA from 1 species